UCCAGCAACGGGCAGACAUGGGGCUGAUCAUUUACAGCGCUGCCCGGAGCAGCCCCACGGUGAGAAACUGACGAGCCCAUUCAGCUCAAGGAACUUCAUGUCCAGGGAAAUCGUCUUACUGUGCUGCCCCCAGAACUAGGUGUAAAGUGCAGACAGGCAAGAAGGAGGAGCAGAGGACUCAGCAGUGUUUACUUGCAAUAUGGUUGUCCCUGUGGACAAAGCAAAGUGCCAGAGAGGAACUAAGUGGCUGGUAAAGAGCACAGAUGAAGCUGGAACACCAGUGCCCAGAUUGCUCAUGACCUGAGGUUCAUUCAGUUCUUCUGGCAGAAAAUAUCUCUGUUAAACCACUGUCUUCUCUCUCA